rnacentral:rRNA from 1 species
GAGUUUGAUCGUGGCUCAGAUUGAACGCUGGCGGCAGGCCUAACACAUGCAAGUCGGGCGGUAGAGAGAAGCUUGCUUCUCUUGAGAGCGGCGGACGGGUGAGUAAUGCCUAGGAAUCUGCCUGGUAGUGGGGGAUAACGCUCGGAAACGGACGCUAAUACCGCAUACGUCCUACGGGAGAAAGCAGGGGACCUUCGGGCCUUGCGCUAUCAGAUGAGCCUAGGUCGGAUUAGCUAGUUGGUGAGGUAAUGGCUCACCAAGGCGACGAUCCGUAACUGGUCUGAGAGGAUGAUCAGUCACACUGGAACUGAGACACGGUCCAGACUCCUACGGGAGGCAGCAGUGGGGAAUAUUGGACAAUGGGCGAAAGCCUGAUCCAGCCAUGCCGCGUGUGUGAAGAAGGUCUUCGGAUUGUAAAGCACUUUAAGUUGGGAGGAAGGGCAGUAAAUUAAUACUUUGCUGUUUUGACGUUACCGUACAGAAUAAGCACCGGCUAACUCUGUGCCAGCAGCCG